GACGAACGCUGGCGGCGUGCUUAACACAUGCAAGUCGAACGGUGAACCUCUUCGGAGGGGAUCAGUGGCGCACGGGUGAGUAACACGUGGGCAACCUGCCCCCGGCUCUGGGAUAACUCCAAGAAAUUGGGGCUAAUACCGUAUGUUCACCGCUUCCCGCAUGGGUGGUUGUGGAAGGGGUUUCCGGCUGGGGAUGGGCCCGCGGCGUAUCAGCUUGUUGGUGGGGUAGUGUCGUACCAAGGCGAGGACGGGUAGCCGGCCUGAGAGGGUGACCGGCCACACUGGGACUGAGACACGGCCCAGACUCCUACGGGAGGCAGCAGUGGGGAAUAGUGCGCAAUGGGCGGAAGCCUGACGCAGCGACGCCGCGUGGGGGAUGACGGCAUUCGGGUUGGAAACCUCUGUCCGCAGGGACGAAGCGCAAGUGACGGUACCUGCAGAAGAAGCACCGGCCAACUACGUG
rnacentral:rRNA from 1 species